rnacentral:rRNA from 1 species
CCUACGGGUGGCAGCAGUGAGGAAUAUUGGUCAAUGGCCGGAAGGCUGAACCAGCCAAGCCGCGUGAAGGACGAAGGUGCCAAGCAUUGUAAACUUCUUUUGUCAAGGGACAAAAUCAGGCGCGAGAGCCUGACCGAGGGUACUUGAAGAAAAAGCAUCGGCUAACUCCGUGCCAGCAGCCGCGGUAAUACGGAGGAUGCGAGCGUUAUCCGGAUUUAUUGGGUUUAAAGGGUGCGUAGGCGGACUGUUAAGUCAGCGGUGAAAGCCCCGGGCUCAACCCGGGCGCGGCGGUGGAAACUGGCUGUCUUGAGUUGUCGAGAGGUAUGCGGAAUGCGCGGUGUAGCGGUGAAAUGCUUAGAGAUUGCGAAGAACUCCGAUGGCGAAGGCAGCAUACCGGAGGAGGACUGACGCUGAGGCGCGAAAGCGUGGGUAUCGAACAGGAUUAGAUACCCGGGUAGUC